UACGGGGGGAGCAAGCGUUGUUCGGAAUUAUUGGGCGUAAAGGGCUCGUAGGCGGUUUGUCGCGUCGGGAGUGAAAUCCACUGGCUUAACUGGUGGCUUGCUUUCGAUACGGGCAGACUGGAGGUAUGCAGGGGGAGAACGGAAUUCCUGGUGUAGCGGUGAAAUGCGCAGAUAUCAGGAGGAACACCGGUGGCGAAGGCGGUUCUCUGGGCAUGUCCUGACGCUGAGGAGCGAAAGUGUGGGGAGCGAACAGG
rnacentral:rRNA from 1 species